GUAGGUGGCAAGCGUUGUCCGGAAUUAUUGGGCGUAAAGCGCGCGCAGGCGGUCCUUUAAGUCUGAUGUGAAAGCCCACGGCCCAACCGUGGAGGGUCAUUGGAAACUGGGGGACUUGAGUACAGAAGAGGAAAGCGGAAUUCCAAGUGUAGCGGUGAAAUGCGUAGAGAUUUGGAGGAACACCAGUGGCGAAGGCGGCUUUCUGGUCUGUAACUGACGCUGAGGCGCGAAAGCGUGGGGAGCAAACAGGAUUAGAUACCCUGGUAGUCCACGCCGUAAACGAUGAGUGCUAAGUGUUAGGGGGUUUCCCGCCCCCUUAGUGCUGCGGCUAACGCAUUAAGCACUCCGCCUGGGGGAGUACGGCCGCAAGGCUG
rnacentral:rRNA from 1 species